rnacentral:lncRNA from 1 species
CAUCCAAAGUAAGCAUUUUACAGCUGGCCUACAUCUAAAGUUCAAUUCUAAUAUGUUUGAAACGGCAGGAUGUUUAGAAUAAAUUCAUUAUGGCGCAAAGUUAGUAUAAAUGAAUGCUUAGGCCACUUACUGUAUUUUGCUUAAUUCUAGAGCUAAUAAAAAGUUCUUUUCCUCCUUUAUUAUACAGGCACUGUCUGGCAUAGUGAAUGCGUGUUAAGUACUCAAGAAGUGGUGAUCUCAUUGCUAAUGUCAUUAUUUUGGACUAGCACUUGAUUUGGAAGAGAUCUAGACAUUGAUUUAUCUGAGAAAAUUUAUACCAAGAGCAUGAAUAUCUUCCUUGUAAACAUUUAUUAUUUAUCGUUUAAAGUUCAUGGAUCACUGGUCAUUUCACCCACAAGACUCUUACUUUUUUCAACCCAAGAUCUUGGGAAAAGGUUUGUUUAAUGAGUCUUUAAAUAGUUAUUAG